rnacentral:sRNA from 1 species
UCGAGGGCAACCUCCAAGCGUGGGAAGC